ACGGUAAUAACACAUAAAAACCACGGAAAUGUGUGCAAACUUUAAUUAGGUAAUUAGAGGUGUGGUCACACAAAUGGGCGCGGUCAAAAAUUCUCCCUCUUUGUGUUUCCAAAAUGUUGGGAGGUAUGUGGAAGAAGUGGGAGCCUGCACUUGUUACAGUUCUUAUGUUAAAACUGCGCCUUUGUAUUUGUAAUUUAGCUGCACAGUCGCCUCAACUAUACAGCGCACGUUUUUUUUUGUAAUGGGAGGCAGCACUUCCUGCCAGCGACGUAGCGCAUGACGUCAGUUCUAGCGGCGGAAGUGGGUGUUACCGGAGCAGCGUGGAAGACGAAGAUGGAAGAGGUUCCCUUUGUCCAAAAUGCCUGAAGAUUUAGACACAGAUCAUCUGCUAAAGGCAAUGCAGCUCGACCCUUGUUGACGAAUGAGCCAUUUGCAAGGAAACCUGUGACCGGACUUGUUUCUGCCAUUGGAUAACUCGGAUGUGGUGAGGCACAAUGGUAAGACACAGUAAAUUACAAAAGCAAAUUCUGAGUCUUUACCGACAGUUUUUACAAGCUGGGAAAGAGAAACCUGGGUUUGUACCCCGAAUCAGAGAUGAAUUCCAAAAAAAUGCAAAGAUCCCAAAGACAGACGUUAUGCACAUAGAGUAUCUGCUACGGCGGGGGCAACGGCAACUGCAGCAACUACAGGACGUAAAUACGAAGCAACUGGGAACCUUCAUCAAAUCCCCAACUGACCAGAACCAUUAAUAUCAUUUCUUGUAAAAAGAUCUCGUAUUUGUAUAAAUGUAAUUACACUUUGUAAAUAAAUUAUACAUAAAUUGUUUGCUCUUAAA